rnacentral:rRNA from 1 species
AGAGCGUAUGGCGGAUGCCUAGGCACUAAGAGGCGAAGAAGGACGCAGCGAACGGCGAAACGCGACGGCGAGCAGUAAGCAGGCAACGACCCGUCGAUGUCCGAAUGGGGGAACCCAUCAUUCCGAGAGGGAUGAUAUCGUCUGAUGAAUAAAUAGUCAGACGAGGCGAGACGCAGGGAACUGAAACAUCUCAGUACCUGCAGGAGAAGAAAGUAAGAACGAUUCCGUGAGUAGCGGCGAGCGAAAGCGGAGGAGCCCAAACCAUCGCAAAGAUGGGGUUAUAGGGCUGCCGACAAAGUCGACUUGACAUGAUAGGAGAAGCGCAGGGGAAGGCGCAGCGAAGAGGGUGACACUCCCGUAUCCGAAAUCGUGGAGAGAGGCGAGGCAGUACCUGAGUACGUCGGGGCACGUGAAAUCCUGACGGAAUUAUCGAGGACCAUCUCGAAAGGCUAAAUACUCCUUAGUGACCGAUAGCGAACCAGUACCGUGAGGGAAAGGUGAAAAGAACCCCGGGAGGGGAGUGAAAGAGAACCUGAAACCAUAUGCUUACAAGAAGUCAGAGCCCGUUAAAGGGUGAUGGCGUGCCUUUUGUAGAAUGAGCCGGCGAGUUAUGAUAUGGAGCGAGGUUAAGCGGGAGACGCGGAGCCGAAGCGAAAGCGAGUCUUAAUAGGGCGACAGUUGCAUGUCAUAGACCCGAAACCGGGUGAUCUAGCCAUGAUCAGGUUGAAGUUGGGGUAAAACCCGAUGGAGGACCGAACCGACCCCCGUUGAAACGUUGGCGGAUGAAUUGUGGCUAGGGGUGAAAUUCCAAACGAACCCGGAGAUAGCUGGUUCUCCCCGAAAUAGCUUUAGGGCUAGCGUCGCGCGAAGUCACGUGAAGGUAGAGCACUGAAUAUGUGAUGGCCUCAUCCCGAGGUACUGAGCAUAAUCAAACUCCGAAUGUCACGAGGACAUGCGCGGCAGUCAGACUGCGGGUGAUAAGGUCCGUAGUCAAGAGGGAAACAGCCCAGACCAUCAGCUAAGGUCCCAAAAUAUAUGCUAAGUGGAAAAGGAUGUGGAGAUGUCCAGACAACCAGGAGGUUGGCUCAGAAGCAGCCACCCUUUAAAGAGUGCGUAACAGCUCACUGGUCGAAUGACUCUGCGCCGAAAAUUUACCGGGGCUAAGCAUAAUACCGAAGCUAUGGAUUUAUAGAGAAUAUAAGUGGUAGGGGAGCGUUCCAGUCAGCGAGGAAGCAUGAUCGUAAGGACAUGUGGAGCGGCUGGAAGAGAGAAUGCCGGUGUGAGUAGCGGCACGUGGGUGAGAAUCCCACGCACCGAAGACCCAAGGUUUCCAGAGGAAGGUUCGUCCGCUCUGGGUAAGUCGGGACCUAAGGCGAGGCCGAGAGGCGUAGUCGAUGGACAACGGGUGGAUAUUCCCGUACCUGGCGUGAGGGCGAUGGAGUGACGGAGAAGGCUAGGCGAUCCAGCUGCUGGAAUAGCUGGUGCAAGCGAGGUAGGGGACAUCCAGGCAAAUCCGGAUGUCAUAACCCGAAGACGUGAAGCGUAUGGAACAUUACGAUAAGUACAGAAGUCGCCGAAGCCAUCUUCCAAGAAAAGCUUCUAGCGAUACCUCAAGUCAGCCCGUACCGAAAAUGGACACACAUGGGUGAGGAGAGAAUCCUAAGGUGAGCGAGAGAACUAUAGCUAAGGAACUCUGCAAAAUGACUCCGUAACUUCGGGAGAAGGAGUGCUCAGUGAAAGCUGAGCCGCAGUAAAACGGCCCAAGCGACUGUUUACCAAAAACACAGCUCUCUGCCAAGACGCAAGUCGAAGUAUAGGGGGUGACGCCUGCCCGGUGCUGGAAGGUUAAGAGGAGUGGUCAGUCUUAAGGCGAAGCCAUGAAUUGAAGCCCCAGUAAACGGCGGCCGUAACUAUAACGGUCCUAAGGUAGCGAAAUUCCUUGUCAGGUAAGUUCUGACCCGCACGAAAGGCGUAACGAUUUGGGCGCUGUCUCAGCUGUAGACUCGGUGAAGUCUUAGUACCUGUGAAGAUGCAGGUUACCCGCGACUAGACGGAAAGACCCCAUGGAGCUUUACUGUAGCUUGAUAUUGGACUUUGAUGCAAGAUGUACAGGAUAGGUAGGAGACUGAGAGACAUGCACGCCAGUGUGUGAGGAGUCGCUGUUGGGAUACUACUCUUCCUGUAUUGGAGUUCUAACCGGAUGCCAUAAGCUGGCAACGGGACAGUGUCAGGUGGGCAGUUUGACUGGGGCGGUCGCCUCCCAAAGAGUAA